rnacentral:rRNA from 1 species
CACGCCGUAAACGAUGAGUACUACGUGUCGGGAUAACCCGGUGCUGCAGUUAACGCAUUAAGUACUCCGCCUGAGUAGUACGUGCGCAAGCAUAAAACUCAAAGGAAUUGGCGGGACCUCGCACAAGCGGUGGAUCAUGUUGUUUAAUUCGACGAUACGCGAAGAACCUGACCAGGCCUUGACAUACCGAGCAAUGCUAUGGAGACAUAGUGGAGGUUAGCUGGGAUACAGGUGG